rnacentral:rRNA from 1 species
UACGGAGGGGGCUAGCGUUGUUCGGAAUUACUGGGCGUAAAGCGCGCGUAGGCGGAUCUUUAAGUCAGGGGUGAAAUCCCGGGGCUCAACCUCGGAACUGCCCUUGAUACUGGAGAUCUUGAGUCCGGAAGAGGUUAGUGGAAUUCCAAGUGUAGAGGUGAAAUUCGUAGGUAUUUGGAAGAACACCAGUGGCGAAGGCGGCUAACUGGUCCGGUACUGACGCUGGGGUGCGAAAGCGUGGGGAGCAAACAGG